CGUGACACUUUGGUAAUGGCUCGGCAGCCUAUUAUAGGGGGGAGGGGUGUCGUGAUGCUGAAACUCGAGUUGCCCAAAGGCUUGCUGGGCGCAAUGCCAGCAAGAUGCACGUUGCCGUGCCAUCCCCUAGGCACACUAGCAAGCACGUUGUGGUUGUGGUGUGCCGCCGGGCUCCCCCGCCCCCCACGGAGGCACCCGCUGUUGCAACGAUGGCUCGGAGCGUUGCAACGGAGGAGCCAAAUUUUCAUAUCUCAGAAUUGGCUCGUGCAUUUUUCGUGAAAUUUUGAGAGAACCUUGGUAAUAUUAUGUGAAGGCUGCACAAAAAAAUCCAGGUCAAAAAUCGC
rnacentral:lncRNA from 1 species